CUCACGCAUCAAACACCAAGAAGGAAGAAGAAGUAGAAGUGAAACAAGAGUAGAAAGGAGAAGAAGAAGUCAUUCCUGCAAUCAACUUCAUCAAUAUCUGCGCAGUUCUCCGAGCUCACCUCUGGAAGAAGAAUAUAUCAUGAUGAAGUCUGGAAGCAUUCUUCUAAUGGUCGUAGCCUUGUUUGUUCUCUUGACCUCUACCUUCGGAUCUCGUAUUCCUAUUGCAGAUAUCACUUUUUGUCCAAGACAUUUGGAUUUGUCGGGUAAAUGCAGCAAUUCUCGCAACUGCGGUGAAGACCUCAACGCCGCACUUGGAGCAAGCGCUAUGGUUCAUGGAUGUUCUUGUCAAGAUCUUUCUUCAUAUCAACAUCGUUGUACAUGUUUAGCUGUUUGCCCGUAG